UNUUAAAAGUUCGGGGCUUAACCCCGUGAUGGGAUGGAAACUGCUGAUCUAGAGUAUNGGAGAGGAAAGUGGAAUUCCUAGUGUAGCGGUGAAAUGCGUAGAUAUUAGGAAGAACACCAGUGGCGAAGGCGACUUUCUGGACGAAAACUGACGCUGAGGCGCGAAAGCCAGGGGAGCGAACGGGAUUAGAUACCCCGGUAGUCCUGGCCGUAAACGAUGGGUACUAGGUGUAGGAGGUAUCGACCCCUUCUGUGCCGGAGUUAACGCAAUAAGUACCCCGCCUGGGGAGUACGACCGCAAGGUUGAAACUCAAAGGAAUUGACGGGGGCCCGCACAAGCGGUGGAGUAUGUGGUUUAAUUCGACGCAACGCGAAGAACCUUACCAGGUCUUGACAUUGAUGGACAGAACCAGAGAUGGUUCCUCUUCUUCGGAAGCCAGAAAACAGGUGGUGCACGGUUGUCGUCAGCUCGUGUCGUGAGAUGUUGGGUUAAGUCCNNCAACGAGCGCAACCCCUAUCUUAUGUUGCCAGCACUUUGGGUGGGGACUCAUGAGAGACUGCCGCAGACAAUGCGGAGGAAGGCGGGGAUGACGUCAAAUCAUCAUGCCCCUUAUGACCUGGGCUACACACGUACUACAAUGGGAGUUAAUAGACGGAAGCGAGAUCGCGAGAUGGAGCAAACCCGAGAAACACUCUCUCAGUUCGGAUCGUAGGCUGCAACUCGCCUACGUGAAGUCGGAAUCGCUAGUAAUCGCAGGUCAGCAUACUGCGGUGAAUACGUUCCCGGGCCUUGU
rnacentral:rRNA from 1 species